AGGUAAAGUAUAAGGUUUAUGACAAAAAAGGAAAAUCUCUUAAAAAGAAAAAAACUGAGGGAACCACGUGCAUCAGGGAACUACGUGGCCCCAGGAGAGGAUGGAACCACAUGGCUCCAGAGAUGGCAGCAGGCAGAGCAAAAUGAGUAUUUCCAGGACCACGCUGGGAGCUGAAGUUCAAUGAUGGAGCAGGAGCAGUGGAAUGAUGGCGGAUUUCAUGCACCAAACCUCUUGGAUUCAGAGGAGGGCUUUCCAGAGAAUCCUGAGUUUCUGGACCAGGCAAAGGAGCUCUUGGUCCAAACAUGAGCAGCAAAUGAUGUCACCAUGAUGUAGAGCAGAGGUGUCAGACAACCUACAAGCUGCAUGUGGCCCACAACACUCUGGGAUGGUACCUGAAACAGAUUAAAAUAUAAAUAAGAUAUAUUUAAAUAAAAUUUUUUUAAAGCAUGGUUCACAAGGAUCCUUAUAUACUAUUUAGUGCCCCCUGUUUUUAUUUGAGACUGAUGCCAUCUAAUAUAAAGGAGCAAAUCUGAUGAAGAGCAAAUUUAUCAAGGCAUGUGAUUUGGAAUUUAAAGGAUGAGUAGAGCUUCAACACAUAAAGAAGGGAAGAAGAGCAUUCUAGGUAUAGAGAACAGGGUGAGCAAAGGUAUGGGUGAAUAACUCAGUUUGAGAUCAGAGCACACUUGACUGGAAAAGCAGGGGGUUACCAAAUAGUGGAAAGCCAAGAAAAAAGUGUAUAUUUUACAUUGAUGAGACAAUAGGGAGGGGCAGAGGAAAGAUAACAAAUUUAUUUUGGAUUUUGUCCAGAGAAGGUAGGGUAUUUAAUGAGGCUAUGGCAGUAUUUCAGGUCAAUAUAAAUAAUAGCAAAAGAGUGUAGAUAUCAGUGUUAUGGAGGUAGAGUUAUUACCACAACUUAUUAACCUUUUUGUUUAGUCAUUUCAGCAGUAUCCAACUUUUGGGGGCCACAUUUGGGGUUUUCUUGGCAGAGAUACUGGAAUGGCUUACCAUUUCCUUCAGCUUAUUUUACAGAUGAAGAAAUUGAGGCAGACAAGAUUGAGUAACUUAGCCAGGCUUACAUAGCUAGGAAGUGUCUGAAGCCAAAUUUUAAUUCCUUUCUUCCUGACUUGGGGCUCACAGCUCUUUCCAUUGCACCACUUUGCUGCCCAUAUCAAUCUAUAAGCACUGCUUAGAUGGGGCAAAUACUUUGCUGAGGUCUUUCCUCUUUACAGUCUCUUAGCCAAAAUAAUGUGUGCACCAGUAAUUACACAUGAAGUAAAUCUAAUUUGAGAUUAACUGGUGAAGUAUUAGGAAAAUAUGUGAAGUAGACUUUAAGAGAAACUCUUUAACAGAAGAGGAAAUACAUUUCAAGCAUAGGGAAAACCUUGGAGAAAGGGACAGAGAACCUUGAGGAAGUUCCAUUGCAAGGAACAGGGAAGCCCAGACAAGAGUAGUUAGAAAGGGAAGAAAACCAAAAGAUCUGUGAUGUUUUUGAAAGAUUAAAAAAGAUGACAAAAAAAUUACUGAGUUUGACAGGAAGUCAUUGGUGACUUUUGGGAGAACACUUCAGUGAUGAGACAGAAUUAGAUUGCAAAGGAUUGAGAAUAGUGAGGAAGAGGAGGUAGAAAGUUUACAAAUGAGAGGGGACAGCUAGGUGGUUCAGUGGAUAGAUAGCACACUGGACCCGAAAUCAAGAUGAGUUCAUAUCCUACCACAAAUAACAGCUAUGUGAUCUGAUUGACUCAAAAACCAAAAAGGAAUGAAAAUUUGGGUAAAUUUGUAGGUAGAUGGUGAGGAGUCAGAAGUGAAAGCAUGACAAAGACUGGAUGGCUUCUGGAGAAAAGUGACUGGUUCAGGUUCUUAGGCAUCAUCAUGAUGACUCAUUCACAAGGUAAUUUCCCCUCCCACCUUGCCCUCAAAUACUAAAAGCAAAUAGUUACAGAAAUGCUCAUAACUUCUACUCACUUAUGGAUGAGUACUAUCACACAUUCAGAGAAGUAUAGUAUGUUUUUCACACAGG
ensembl:lncRNA